rnacentral:rRNA from 1 species
GACGAACGCUGGCGGCGUGCUUAACACAUGCAAGUCGAACGGAAAGGCCCUGCUUUUGUGGGGUGCUCGAUUGGCGAACGGGUGAGUAACACGUGAGUAACCUGCCCUUGACUUUGGGAUAACUUCACGAAACUGGGGCUACUACCGGAUCGGAGCUCCUGCUGCAUGGUGGGGGUUGGAAAUUUUCGGCGGUUGGGGUUGGACUCGCGGCUGAUCAGCUUGUUGGUGGGGUAGUGGCUUACCAAGCCUUUGACGGGUAGCCGGCCUGAGAGGGUGACCGGCCACAUGGGGACUGCGAUACGGCCCAGACUCCUACGGGAGGCAGCAGUGGGGAAUAUUGCACAAUGGGCGGAAGCCUGAUGCAGCAACGCCGCGUGCGGGAUGACGGCCUUCGGGUUGUAAACCGCUUUCGCCUGUGACGAAGCGUGAGUGACGGUAAUGGGUAAAGAAGCACCGGCUAACUACGUG